AUUUAAUUUGAGAAGAAUUUUGAAGACUGAACUGAAAUUACCUAACAAUUAGUUUUAUUUGUAUUAAGGCCUGUUUAAACAGAUCCAACAUUGUUGGACCAACAUCAUCCAACAAUCUUACUAUAAUAGAUAAGACUGCUUCUCUUUCAAAUCUUUUUGGUUAGAUAAGCUUUACUCAAACUCUAAACCUAGUCAGUGACAAAAAUAUUUGAAAAGGAAGCCGUUUGGGCCAUUAUUUCAACAAUGUUGGAUGAUGUUGACUCAACAAUGUUGGAUCCGUUUAAUAUUCAGUAGCGUAUCCAGUCUGACGAUUUAGUCCCGCUAUGCAAAUAUUCUUGUGUUCACUGACUGUGAAAACAAUAGUACAAGUUUUUAUCAGGUUUUGAUAGGUACAAAGUGCCAGUGUCACAGGAGAUUCGCCCCCCCCCC